GUUUUCACUAAAACCCUAGUCCUUUUUACAAACACAAAAAUCACUUUUUCUGCCUCCUCCGCUCUUCAUCGCCGAAUCCGCUCUUCAUCACCGAAUCCAACCAUUCUUCAUCACUGAAUUCGACCGUUCUUCAUCACCAACCUCCUCUGUUCUUCAUCGCCAACCUCCUCCGUUCGACCGCAACGACCGUCACGACGAUACUCUAUGUGGUCGUCACCACCACCCGCGACUGCAACGACAUCCGUUAUUCUUCAUUUUCUGCAUGCAAGUAACCACAAACUCUCGCAGUGGUGAACUCAACUUCAACAAUCAUUCACAGAUCUUCAAACCGUAUGCUUCCAAUUCUUUACUACUUGGUUCUUCUUUUACAGUCUUGAAAUACUCGACUUCAACACUAAGCAAAUCAAAGACCCCACUUCCAAAUCCAAACAAGCCGGCACUGUCAUAUGCCUUGGACCAGAGCUCGAGAUUUCCGGUUAUGGCUGCGAAGAACAUUUCUUAGAACUCGACACCAUUAACCACCAAUGGGAGUGUUUGAAGGAUAUAUUAGUUGGUGAUUGGACUGAUGUCAUAGUGUGCAGUACUGGAUUGCCUAUUAUCAAAGGUUCUGAGAGAUAUAACUGUCAGGUUUUGUGUUUUAAUCAAAAGAUUAUUAUGGUAAGACCCAAAAUGUGGCUUGCAAAUGAUGGUAAUUAUUGAGAACUUCAAUGGUUUAUUGCUUGGAAACAAAGGGAACAACUUGAUGAUUUUCAGCUUCCUCUUCAUUUCUCCGAGACAUUGGGCCAAAAAUCAGUUCCUUUUGGUUACGGCUUUGUUAAGUUUCAAGAUACAACUAUUGCGACUGAAGUUCGCGAAGAGCUUUUUACUCUAUCUCCCCCUCAUGCCGAGCUUGUGUUAAAUGGGGUUGAAGUGUUUAUGAAUGCAAGUGGAAGUCACCACCAACUUAGAAAUCUUGAGGUUCGUCUUCGUGCUUUUAUGGUGGUCUCCUUUACUAUGGGCUAUGUUGGAAAUAAAUCAGUUGUUUUUCCUCUACAACUUUUGGACUUUGAUGUGGAUCCAAUUUAUUCUAUAAAGUUUUCUAAUCACAUGGAAUAUACAAUGGAAAAUGUACCCGACCUUGAAGCAGCUGAAUGAUGGCUUACUGAGUACUUAAAUGAUGCUGACAUGUAAUUCAGUCCUGAAGAUUCGUAUGCUUCUUCCAACCGCCAAUUUUUAUUUCCUUUACAGUUGGUUGGUUACAGAAUAAUCUGAUAAUCUUGUUAUUUGAAACAAGAAUUUCUUAGGAGCAGAUGAUGUGCAUAUUGAUGUUGCAGGUAGAUUGCAUUGUUUUCUUCGAUCAUUAUCAUUCUCGACUGUUUCUAAUGUGGAUUGAAUUUUAUUCAUAAAAAUUUCAUCCUCCUGCUGAGUUAUGUAACAUCACACUAUCGCAAGAACAAAAUGGUUCCACCGAAUGUCACCGGAGUCUCUAAAAAUGUUGUCUUCAAAGAUAAGAAAUCUUUUAUAAGGACACCGACAAAGUUGGCUUCUACUGUGGCAUAUCCAUUUGCCUUCAUUAAACCAAGUGGUGCCCAUGGAGAUGUUACUCUGAAGGAAAUCAAUCAGCGCAUUCUGACCCCUCCUUCGAAAUCAAAGCAAAGCAGUGACGGUUCGCUUACCCUAAAUUUGCCUUCUCAAGAAAGCCAGUGGUUGGUAAGACAAAAAUAUGCACCGAAGGAGGAAAGGGCAGCAUCACAAUUAUGAGAACCAAAGGCUAAGUUAAGUGGUAUCCAUCAUUCAAGGGCCAAGUUUUAAAUGGACAGCAACUCUGGGAACUGAUUGUUGAAGCUAAUUAUUUAUUGUACUACACUCACUCACUUAUUAACAUGUACUAUUAUUUAUGAUGUCGAAGAGAUUAAUGUAUGCAUAAUUUAAUUGUGAACUGUAUGUAU